rnacentral:rRNA from 1 species
CAAUAGCGUAUAUUAAAGUUGUUGCAGUUAGAACGCUCGUAGUCGGAUUUCGGGGCGGGCCGACCGGUCUGCCGAUGGGUACGCACUGGUCGGCGCGUCCUUCCUUCCGGAGACCGUGCCUACUCUUAACUGAGCGGGGGCGGGAGACGGAACUUUUACUUUGAAAAAAUCAGAGUGUUUCAAGCAGGCAGCUCGCUCUUGCAUGGAUUAGCAUGGGAUAAUGAAAUAGGACUUUGGUGCUAUUUUGUUGGUUUCGAACACCGAAGUAAUGAUGAGAAGGGACAGUCAGGGGCACUCGUAUUCCGCCGAGAGAGGUGAAAUUCUCAGACCAGCGGAAGACGAACCACUGCGAAAGCAUUUGCCAGGGAUGUUUUCACUG